GACCGCCUGGGGAGUACGGCCGCAAGGGUAUAAUUCAAAGAAAUUGACGGGGGCCCGCACAGUGGAAGUGGAGCAUGUGGUUUAAUUCGAUGCAACGCGCGGAACCUUACCUACUCUUCAACUCCAGCGAGCUUCCUAGCGAGGGCUUGGGGCGGUAAUCAAGGCCAUGCAGGUGCUGCUUGCCGUUAGUCAGACACCACGNUGGAAUGUUGCGGGAAUUCCGCCUAUGAGCGCAAAGAUUAUCUGUUGUGCCGAGACCUUUCCUUUUACAUAGGAUACUAGCGGCGCUGUCUCGGCCGGGAAAAGGACCCUAUAACGUGUAUUCCACCGGCCAGAAUGGUAAGGUCAUUCGGUAGCGCUUCCUACGUAAUUGGGGGGAAGUUUUGGUGCGGGAGCCAGCGGACCUCACAAACUGCACGGAAAAGGGGAUUCUAGUGAUGAACUUGAUUGUUGUUGCGUUCUAUCGCUACUUCUCCUGAAUCAUGCUGGAGCAUUGGUACGCUCCUUUUCUUCGUGCUUGGUGCCGAUCACCCCCACGGAGUCCAUGAGGUUUGACGUAGGUAGCAGAACAUUGGUGAGGGUCAGAAGCAUCGGCGUACAGUAAGCAUUAAUCCG
rnacentral:rRNA from 1 species